UUCAGGGGCACCUGUCGUAAAACAGUUCAGGGGACAACUGUAAUAAACAAAAGUUUAGGAAAAUUUGUAAAUAAACAAUAGUCCGAGGAACAUAUGGAAUUGACAAUAGUUUGUGGGAAGUGUUGUAAUUUCAAUGAAAUACCGGGCCAAUCGAAGAGAUAACCUUGGCCAAGAUUUUGUUGCUUCUCCUUAUCCGCAUGGUGGCCAGUGAUUAACUCUGUCCUUCCUUACGCAGUAGCCUCACUUGGGACAGAAGCGAACACAAUGCUUAGAGUCUGCUUCCGAUUUAAAAACUCUCAAGUAGUCUUCUUUCUCCAGUGGUGAUGAUGGCGAAGUUUUCUAAAGAGAUCAGAGACAAACAGAUGAAAUAGAUGAUGAGGUUGUCCAUCCAUCUCAAUGUAUAUAUAUCUUCACGCUUAAUUUCCAGAAAUCGUCAAAACCAGACGAGUUUUGCCGAAUGAAAAAACGAUGGCAAUCAUACAUUACGCACGGUGAAAGACUCGUAGCUAACGAGGCACUAUCAAGAAGCUCCCAGUCAAUUGUUGCUUAUACUGAGCAGGUUAUGCAAGAAGCCGAAAGUCUCAAGCUUCUGCAAGAACCGGUACAUGUAUUUAGUGGCUGGCAACCAAUGCCAUGUGCUCUAUAAGGUCAAGAACUCGGUUGCUGUAAGUAAAAUGGGAGAAGAUUUGUAAGUGUUUGAGAACUGUUAGCUAUAUAUUUGAUGGAGUUAAUAUGAGAUGCGAAACAACAAGUGUACCUGUAACCCCAUUCGUUAUCGUACCAAGAGACAAGUUUCACAAAGGACUUGCUCAAUCCAAUCCCGGCAUUGGCGUCAAAGAUACUGGACCUGUUAUAACAAAAUUGAAAUCGCCACAAUGGUCAACCACCAAAGAAGACUCAAAUGGAUUUGAAGAAAUGAAGAGAGACCAACCUUGAAUCACCAACGAAAUCGUUGGAGACGACAUCUUCAUCUGUGUACCCGAGAAUGCCUUUAAGAGGCCCUUCUGAGGCAUACCUAUUAGAGGGUUACAUUAAACCAUGAGAAGUUACAACGAGCUCUACAUUAAUAAGUAAUUUUGGGAUGAAGAAAUCUGCUUGGUCAAGAAAGUUUUGGGAAGCAUACUUAAUGG